rnacentral:tRNA from 1 species
AGCCCCGGAGCCCUUUAUGGGCUCGUUUUCAAACUUGCAAUUUGAUGUGUGCUCACUACGAGGCU